GAUCUUCUUCUUGUGAUGAUGUGAGAUGACAAAAUGCCUAUGUGAUGAGAUGAGGUGAAUGACACAGGCAUUGUGAUGUAGCGUGAAGCUUCUAUUGACCUCAAGAUACAUUCAGGAGGAGGAUCAUCUGCUUCUGGAUUGAAGUGGAGUGCAGAAAGCCAUGUCACUGUCAGCAUCCCACCCUUGUUGAUAAAACUGUUAAGAACUGUGAAGGAUCUGGGAAUUCAGCCUCCCUGCAAGCUACCAAGGCAAGCUGCCAUCGAUUCAUGGACACUGGCAGAAGACCCAGGAUUACUGGUUCACAGGCAAAGGACUCCAUUACUCACGGCACAGCCAGCAGCGUGAGGGUCAGCACAUUUGUGUCAGUUCCCUUUACCCACAAGUCCUAUGGGAUGAUGCAGAUGAGCCCUGAUAGAUAUUUACACAUACAGAGGGGGUUGCAUUACAGAAGGGAAGCCUGAAUUUAGGGAGCCCACGUCUUUUAAAAUAGUUGGUAAGCAUGCCCGCUUUUUAUUCUGGAAUGAGACCUUAACUCUAUCUUCUAAGCCUGUUCACUAUCCAAACAUCCUUGAAAAGAUAUCCUGGAACAAAGAAAAGCUGUGGGGGAAGCUGCAUUGUUACUGUGUGUCUAGAGCAAAAGAACAGAGACUGCUGAGAGGUAGUGCUCUGAACCUCUCCACAGCCCUGUGGACUCCCAACUCAGGAAGGUGUCAGGAAAUGAUUAAGUAGGAUGACGAUCCUGAGCUGAUGGCUAAGAAAAUGAUGAAAAGGAAGACGAAAAGUUCCUAAUCUGUCCUUUAGGAGAGCUCCAGGGACUCUGCAGAAUGAGAAAAAUCUAUAACGAAUUAUUGCAAACUACAUCUGAAACAAAUGAUGUACUAUAUGUUGGCUAAUUGAAUUUAAAUAAAAAAAAAUC